UUAGCACGACGACAUAUUUAAAUAAUAAUAAUAAUAAGUAAUUUUUUAAAUAAAAAAGCACCAUACUAUUGACUGAGCUGCUGACACAUUUAGGUAAAUGGAAAUGUUUUUAGAGUGAAGGAUGUGGCUACUAUAUGAUGUGGUUACAACUUAAUAAACAACAGCAUAAAAUAAAAUGGCGUGAGCUCUUAUUAAGAGUGAAAGCUUAUUUGGCCUAAUGUAUAACACAACAUAUUACAACAUCCAUAUUUAACUGCAUAUAAUAGAAUCGUAUCUCUAGCUCAUCACACUAACCUUCUAGCACAGUCUCUUAGUCAUUCUAUCUUACCAUCUAAGUCAUUCUCUCAGUUAUUAUCAUUUAGCUGGCCCUGCCAUGUGGGAGGAAUUCCUGUAACACGAGGCAAGACAAGGAAAGCAGGACGAGCUGGUUCAGGGAGUCAAGUCCACAGCACGCACCACCAAACACAACAAGCACUUCAGGGAUCGGAAGGUGCAAGCAUUGACCCAACCACCUCAACAGUAUAUAAAAAUCAACCUAGCAUCUGAUUAAACUCUUUUUUAAAAACAUACAUAUAAAACACACUAUAGGUUGCUCUGAACCCGUACGUGAUAUGGAUGUGGACAUCCUAACAAGAUGUCAGUUUACAUUCUGAUAACUACUGCAAGUAACACACGUGGAUGUACAACACAGGAGAGGUUAUAAGGGGCAACAAGAGGAAUCCAGCUAGUUUGGUCGAGCAGCAUGUCUGCACUGGAGCGUGGGCCAGCAGGUUCAGGAAAUCUCUCGGAAAGCCAUGAGUAUUAGUAUCCAGGCCUCGACCGGAUGCCCCAAAGCUCAGGGUUCAAGCUUCAUCCCGUUCUUCCCUCUCCCAGAGCUGAGGACGGGGGAAAGGAAAGAGCAUUUCUUUUGCAUUUAUAUAUAUUUUUUUUAAAUUCACUUUGUUUGCUGUUAUUGAUACCAUACACGUAUUUUUAUAUUUACACAGCAAUCCCCACUCUACCCUCAUAAACUACGUAUCAUCCAUGAGCCUUAAGCUUUCACAACACAGCACAGCGUCCCUCAGGGAUGUUUUACUCCAGGUCUCGGCAAAGGCCAGCUGUCACUGUAAACUGAGCCGGGUGGACCCUCACGAACAGCUCAGCCUCUGCCCAGCUGCCGCCUUGGGAUCUUAUCAGCCACGGGACCAUGCAACACAGACAAUCUGGACCUGGUUUGUGUUUCAAGGCCAUUCAAAAUGACCUAAAUGACAUCAAUAACACACUUGUGGUGGAAACGGGUCAAAAAAACGUAGACUUGUGUGUUGAAAACCAAUGAAUAUUUGCAUUUUUAAAAACUAACCUGUGACAUAUGAAGUAUCUUUAGAAAUGAGAAAAUUAAAGUUUAAGUUAAAGUAAAAUUAUCAAUUUUAGUAAUAGAAGGAGUGAGAAAAAAUUAUAGAAAAAACUUUAUAGUGUUUCUUAGAUUAGAUGUAACUUAAAAUGCAGUUAUGCAUUGGUUCAACAAUCCUAAGCAACAACAUGAACGCAACUCACAAGGACAUUUCUUCAAAUUUCUUUCAAAACUUCCUUAUAUGACUAUUUAAAUUUGGUCCCCAAUGGCAGUGCACAUAGACAAUAACACAAAUAAGAUCUAUAAAUAUUUCAUUUUCCAGAAACACUCACUUUCCAUUAACACUUAGAUGCUUUUUUUCUAUUAAUGAUAAGAAUGAAAAUUAUGCUAAAAAUUGCAAUAUUAGGAUGAGUAAAUGAUAGCAUUUAAACUGAGAAAAUGAUGAAUGUUCAUCAUUCCCUUUAAAAUAUUUUAAUCUAUGAACACAGCAACGUAUUUCCUUGGAUAUGAUUAUUUGAGCUUACAGAACCAAGAGAGGACACAAAAAGGAAUCAUUGUUAGGUCCAGACAUUUCUGGUAUUUCUGAUUGCACUAAACGACAGCAAUGUUCUGAUGUGAAAUCAAAUGUUUGAAACUGAUUGACGUACAGGUCUUCAUCCCGGCAAUGGAAUUCAUGACACACCAGCACCUCAGACAGCAGCCUCUUAAUUAGAACAAAUGCCUUCCCUCCAGGCUUUCUUGCAAUAACAGUGGGACUGUAAUUAAACUCAAUUAGCUCAUCAGCUUUAAAGUGGGUUAAGUGAUGUUUACUCAACAUGGGCUAAUUGUGUGGCAUAUGGUAAGCUUGGUAGAUGGAAGUGUAGGGGUGGGUUUGUUGUUGGAUAGCUUGGGAUAGGUCUGCAGUAAAGCUAUCAGGGAUUACCUGGGCUGAUGGUGGUGGUCCUGACGGCCCCCGAGGGGACGUGAGGGUUGAGAACUCAGAAUCUGAGGGGGGGGCUUGAAGAACUCUUCCUUUUGGGAGAGCUCUAAAAAUGUCAAGAGAGAGAGAAAUAUACAAUGCUAACAAUAACUAGUUCAUAAAUAUUUUUAGAAUAUUUACAGUGAUAAAGUAUAUAAAACAUUUAUACAAAAAACUAAAAUAAACUAUUUUUAGGAUAUACUAUAUAAAUUAAACAUAAAGUUCUAUGUAACAAACACAAAUAUAGAUCAGAUUAAGCUCUCUAAUGGCAUCACUGGUAAACGGACCGAUGUUAAACAAUGCAUUUCAGUGUCACUGUGGUUGGUUAAGAGUAGCAGGGUUGCUCUUUUUCUGUCCAGGGAACAGUGACAGCUGUGGGGCCAACAGUGGGUCCGAGCUCCCCUGCAGCUGUCUGGUGUGCCUGGGGUGGAAUGACUCAGUGAUCCUCCUCUAACUGGACAGAUCCGGACCAGCACAACACCUGCUCUUUCUGGCAGAGCACAGGCAGGCCAACCUUGACUGACGUGAGGGAAUUCUAAAACACACAGAUAUACUGCCAGAGGACACUAAACACAUAUGAAGGAAUACACCGGUGUAUAUGGAGAUGCUUCCAUGAAGAGCUUCAAGGCUAUUUCCAGCUCAACGCGGGCGGCUGUCCUUCCUGGUUUGAUCCCCUAGGCAACCGAUGUGGUCAUUCCUUCCAGAAAAUGGAGAGCAGUGUGUAACCAAACACCAACAGGGGCCCCAGAAAAACUAGUGUGUGUGUGUGUGUGUGUGUGUGUGUGUGUGUGUAGGUGUACAUUAUGCUUGAA